rnacentral:rRNA from 1 species
UCCGUAGGUGGCAAGCGUUGUCCGGAAUUAUUGGGCGUAAAGCGCGCGCAGGUGGUUCCUUAGGUCUGAUGUGAAAGCCCACGGCUCAACCGUGGAGGGUCAUUGGAAACUGGGGAACUUGAGUGCAGAAGAGGAAAGUGGAAUUCCAAGUGUAGCGGUGAAAUGCGUAGAGAUUUGGAGGAACACCAGUGGCGAAGGCGACUUUCUGGUCUGUAACUGACACUGAGGCGCGAAAGCGUGGGGAGAAAACAGG